AUUCAGCUGACGAGUCUCAUAUAGGAUGGAAUGCGCGUCCUGGAU
rnacentral:hammerhead_ribozyme from 1 species